AUCAGUUCAAUUCAUGACAAGUAAAGCUCUUGUAUUGUUAGUAAUAAUUUUGAACUUUUGAACUUCUUUUUUAUUUCUCUAUUUAGUUGGUAUCUGUUGCUUUUGCAGUGGUUUUAAAGCAUUUUCUAGUUAUGCUACUGUUUUUACCAUUAUUCUUUUCAGGUCAGGCUGAAGAGGUAUUUGGAGAUGAGAGGUGCUUGGAGGGCCAUGGAGAAGGUUAUGUGCCUUACCAGCACUUUGGUUUUCAGGCUAAAGGAAUGAAUUACUUGCAUACAAGCAAUCCUCCCAUUGUCCAUUGAGAUUUGAGGUCUCCAAAUCUUCUUGUUGACAAGCAUUGGGUUGUUAAGGUGGAUAUGACAAAGAAUAAAAGGCCGCGAGAGCUUAUGAUUUGGCAGCUUUAAAGUAUUGGGGUCCCACUGCUACCAGCAACUUCCCUGUAAAGGCAUCACCAAGGUAGGUGGCAAGCAAGAAUUGGCCACAUUGCUGGAAACAAAGAUCUUUACUUGGGAACAUUCAGUAAGUAUUUCACCUUCAUUUUCCAUUGUGUUCCCGUGUUAACAAAGAUGAUUAUUCAAAUUGCUGAGUUUCAUAU